AGCUGGGCUAGGAGCACCAUGCUUGGUCGCCAGAGUGCUCGGAGCUGAGUGGAGUCUGUGUGUCUGAGCCAGUUGAGGGCUGCUGGGACCAGACUAGGGUUGGGCUCUACAGGUCUGGCCCCAGGACCUCUCCCAGGGAUUCAGCCACCCGAAACAAGGAUGCACUCGAGCUGGAGAGCCUGAUGAGGACCUGACAUCCCGUCACUUGUCAUCCUUCCUGAGCCUCUGCGUGAUGGUCACCACUCUCAAACUCUACCGCCUCGUCUGGACCUUGGUGAGAGCCGCAACUUCUCCCUAAGACCCCCUCCUCAACCGGUCGUCCACUCCACGCCAGGAAAAGCCUGCUUGGUUCCGGACCUGGUCACCACAGUCCGAGUGGGUGGGCAUCUGCUGGACAUAAAGCCUAAGGCUUAGGACUUUUGAACUUAUCCUGCAGAGGGGAUGUCUGUCAUUAGCCUGUCAUGAUUAGGUGUGUUUGCAGUGCUUAGACUUAAUCUAGAAUUGUUUGCUGUGAAUUGAUUAUGUCUAUUGCAGUGCCCAGCAUCAAGGAUUGUCAUUUUCUUGAUUAAGAACCUAUAGAGUGAAACUGUAUGGAGUGAUUUGAGAGAAUAAAGCACUGAAAAGAGCAGAA